rnacentral:rRNA from 1 species
ACUCCUACGGGAGGCAGCAGUGGGGAAUAUUGCGCAAUGGACGAAAGUCUGACGCAGCGACGCCGCGUGGAGGAUGAAGGUUUCGGAUCGUAAACUCCUGUCAAGAGGGAAGAAACCUAUCAUGAAUAAUACUUAUGGUAAUUGACGGUACCUCUAGAGGAAGCACCGGCUAAUUCAGUGCCAGCAGCCGCGGUAAUACUGAAGGUGCAAGCGUUAAUCGGAAUCACUGGGCGUAAAGCGCUCGUAGGUGGCUUUGUAAGUCAGGUGUGAAAGCCCACGGCUCAACCGUGGAAUUGCACUUGAUACUGCAUCGCUAGAGUAUAGGAGAGGGAAGUGGAAUUUCUGGUGUAGGAGUGAAAUCCGUAGAGAUCAGGAGGAACACCCGUGGCGAAGGCGACUUCCUGGACUAUUACUGACACUGAGGAGCGAAAGCGUGGGAGCAAACAGGAUUAGAUACCCCUGGUAGACUGUCA